GAUGAAGAACAUAGCGAAAUGCGAUAAGUAAUGUGAAUUGCAGAAUUCAGUGAAUCAUCGAAUCUUUGAACGCACAUUGCGCCCGUCAGUAUUCUGGCGGGCAUGCCUGUUCGAGCGUCAUUACGCCCCUCAAGUCCCCUGUGGACUUGGUGUUGGGGAUCGGCGAGGCUGGUUUUCCAGCACAGCCGUCCCUUAAAUUAAUUGGCGGUCUCGCCGUGGCCCUCCUCUGCGCAGUAGUAAAACACUCGCAACAGGAGCCCGGCGCGGUCCACUGCCGUAAAACCCCCCAACUUUUUAUAGUUGACCUCGAAUCAGGUAGGACUACCCGCUGAACUUAAGCAUAUCAAUAAGCGGAGGA
rnacentral:misc_RNA from 1 species